rnacentral:tRNA from 2 species
GGGCGUAUAGCUCAGCUGGCUAGAGCGCUACGUUGACAUCGUAGAGGUCACAGGUUCAAGUCCUGUUACGCCCACCA